GACGUAGGGCGCGAGCGUUGUCCGGAUUUACUGGGCGUAAAGCGCACGUAGGCGGAUCGUUAAGUCGGGGGUGAAAUCCUGGAGCUCAACUCCAGAACUGCCUUCGAUACUGGCGAUCUUGAGUCCGGAAGAGGUGAGUGGAACUCCUAGUGUAGAGGUGGAAUUCGUAGAUAUUAGGAAGAACACCAGUGGCGAAAGGCGGCUCACUGGUCCGGUACUGACGCUGAGGUGCGAAAGCGUGGGGAGCAAACAGG
rnacentral:rRNA from 1 species